rnacentral:rRNA from 1 species
CCUACGGGUGGCAGCAGUGAGGAAUAUUGGUCAAUGGGCUUACGCCUGAACCAGCCAAGUCGCGUGAGGGAAGACUGCCCUAUGGGUUGUAAACUUCUUUUGUCAGGGACGAAGCAAGUGACGGUACCUGCCGAAUAAGCCACGGCUAACUACGUGCCAGCAGCCGCGGUAAUACGUAGGUGGCAAGCGUUAUCCGGAUUUACUGGGUGUAAAGGGCGUGUAGGCGGGGAAGCAAGUCAGAUGUGAAAACCAAGGGCUCAACCUGUGGCCUGCAUUUGAAACUGGUUUUCUUGAGUGCUGGAGAGGAAACCGGAAUUCCGGGUGUAGCGGUGAAAUGCGUAGAUAUACGGAGGAACACCAGUGGCGAAGGCGGAUUGCGGGACAGUAACUGACGCUGAGGCGCGAAAGCGUGGGGAGCAAACAGGAUUAGAUACCCCAGUAGUC